CCUACGGGUGGCAGCAGUGGGGAAUAUUGGGCAAUGGGCGCAAGCCUGACCCAGCAACGCCGCGUGAAGGAAGAAGGCUUUCGGGUUGUAAACUUCUUUUCUCAGGGACGAAGCAAGUGACGGUACCUGAGGAAUCAGCCACGGCUAACUACGUGCCAGCCGCCGCGGUAAUACGUAGGUGGCAAGCGUUAUCCGGAUUUACUGGGUGUAAAGGGCGGGUAGGCGGGGACGCAAGUCAGAUGUGAAAGCCACGGGCUCAACCUGUGGACUGGAUUUGAAACUGUGUUGCUUGAGUACUGGGGAGGCAGACGGAAUUCCUAGUGUAGCGGUGAAAUGCGUAGAUAUUAGGAGGAACACCAGUGGCGAAGGCGGUCUGCUGGACAGCAACUGACGCUGAGGCGCGAAAGCGUGGGGAGCAAACAGGAUUAGAUACCCCUGUAGUC
rnacentral:rRNA from 1 species